rnacentral:rRNA from 8 species
CACACGACUCUCGGCAACGGAUAUCUCGGCUCUCGCAUCGAUGAAGAACGUAGCGAAAUGCGAUACCUGGUGUGAAUUGCAGAAUCCCGCGAACCAUCGAGUCUUUGAACGCAAGUUGCGCCCGAGGCCACUCGGCCGAGGGCACGCCUGCCUGGGCGUCACG